rnacentral:tRNA from 1 species
UCCUUGUUAGUACAAUGGUCAGUACACUCAUUCUACAGAUGAGGAUCUGGGUUCGAUUCCUGGACUUGGAG